CUGCUGCCUCCCGUAGGAGUCUGGGCCGUGUCUCAGUCCCAAUGUGGCCGAUCAACCUCUCAGUUCGGCUACUGAUCGUCGACUAGGUGGGCCGUUACCCCGCCUACUAUCUAAUCAGACGCGAGUCCAUCUGUAAGCGAUAAAUCUUUCAAAGCUUCCCCAUGCGGAAAAACUUCAAUAUGCGGUAUUAGCACAGAUUUCUCUGUGUUAUCCCCCUCUUACAGGCAGGUUACUCACGCGUUACUCACCCGUCCG
rnacentral:rRNA from 1 species